UACGUAGGUGGCAAGCGUUGUCCGGAUUUACUGGGCGUAAAGAGCGCGCAGGCGGCCGAGUAAGUCGAAUGUGAAAGCCCCCGGCUCAACUGGGGAAGGUCAUUCGAUACUGUUCGGCUUGAAGAUAGGAGAGGGAAGCGGAAUUUCAGGUGUAGUGGUGAAAUGCGUAGAUAUCUGAAGGAACACCAGUGGCGAAGGCGGCUUUCUGGACUGCAACUGACACUGAGAAACGAAAGCCAGGGUAGCAAACGGG
rnacentral:rRNA from 1 species